CACCAGUGCACUCCUGGAACCAUAACCACUACAGUGUACUGUAGUGGUUAUGGUGUUUGGAGUGUUCCUUAA